rnacentral:tRNA from 1 species
GGCGCGAUGGCGAAGUGGAAACGCUGGGGUCUGCAAAACCUCGAUGCGGGGGUUCGAUUCCCCCUCGCGCCUCCA